rnacentral:rRNA from 1 species
ACGUAGGGUGCAAGCGUUAAUCGGAAUUACUGGGCGUAAAGCGUGCGCAGGCGGUUUUGUAAGUCUGUCGUGAAAGCCCCGGGCUCAACCUGGGAAUUGCGAUGGAGACUGCAAGGCUUGAAUCUGGCAGAGGGGGGGUAGAAUUCCACGUGUAGCAGUGAAAUGCGUAGAGAUGUGGAGGAACACCGAUGGCGAAGGCAGCCCCCUGGGUCAAGAUUGACGCUCAUGCACGAAAGCGUGGGGAGCAAACAGG